rnacentral:rRNA from 1 species
AUACGUAGGUGGCGAGCGUUGUCCGGAAUUACUGGGCGUAAAGGGUGCGUAGGCGGUUAUAAAAGUCAGAUGUGAAAUUCCGGGGCUCAACUUCGGAAUUGCAUUUGAAACUUUAUAGCUAGAGUGCAGGAGAGGGAAGCGGAAUUCCUAGUGUAGCGGUGAAAUGCGUAGAUAUUAGGAAGAACACCAGUGGCGAAGGCGGCUUUCUGGACUGUAACUGACGCUGAGGCACGAGAGCGUGGGGAGCAAACAGGAUUAGAUACCCUGGUAGUCCACGCUGUAAACGAUGAGUGCUAGGUGUAGGAGGUAUCGACACCUUCUGUGCCGCAGUAAACGCAAUAAGCACUCCGCCUGGGGAGUACGGUCGCAAGACUAAA